rnacentral:rRNA from 1 species
UGGGGGAUAUUGCACAAUGGGCGAAAGCCUGAUGCAGCGACGCCGCGUGGGGGAUGAAGGCCUUCGGGUUGUAAACUUCUUUUGCUCUGAACAAGGCGCACCAUGGGGUGUGUUGAGUGUAGGGGUUGAUUAGCGCCGGCUAACUACGUGCCAGCAGCCGCGGUAAUACGUAGGGCGCGAGCGUUGUCCGGAAUUAUUGGGCGUAAAGGGCUUGUAGGUGGCUGGUUGCGUCUGUCGUGAAAGCUCAUGGCUUAACUGUGGGUUUGCGGUGGGUACGGGCUGGCUUGAGUGCAGUAGGGGAGGCUGGAAUUCCUGGUGUAGCGGUGUAAUGCGCAGAUAUCAGGAGGAAUACCGGUGGCGAAGGCGGGUCUCUGGGCUGUUACUGACACUGAGGAGCGAAAGCAUGGGGAGCGAACAGG